CAUGGUUCAGUAUGUUGCUUGAGAAACUGACUGAAAAUUUGGAAGGUACAGGAGCAUAACAGAAGAGAAUAUAUGAAGUUGGGUUCAUAUGUUAACUGGAGACCUUCUGCUGUCAUCCAGUGGCUUUUGGAAUACAGAACGUAGAGACCUAUAGCCACAUGAAAUACAGUAUUGCGACAAAGGCUUGCAGAAGAGCCAGCCAAGGUCCCUCUACUCCCAACACCACGAUCACAGUGUUUCUUUCUGAACAUGAAUCUAAAGCUGUCGUUGCCCUGCCCAGCUCUUCACCAGUCAAGACUCAAGGCCCUUAAGCAAAGUGGAGCUCCAUAACUUGGUUUCUGGGGAUGACUCUGACCAGAUCCCAUUUGAUUCUGGUCCAGUUAUGAUUUAUGUCCUCUGGAGACAGCAGUGAAGAAGGGCCCUGUCAAAGUAAAAAUAGGUAAGUGCAGACACACAUGCAGACAUACAGUAUCUUCCAUGCAUCUUCAGAGGGUGUACGGCCUUCAAGAGUAUAAGCUGUGACUCCCAACAGAUUUGAGCAAUCAUAGGAUGCAGAGAGGUCUAUCA